GGUCAAUGAUGAUUGGUAAAAGGUCUGAUAGCACUGAAUAUCACAGCCCCUUCCUUGCCCUCAACUCCCAGCAGCCCAUUUUUCCCCCUCAGCUCAUUAAGUCAUGUGCUUGGGAUAGUGGAGCUGCUGAUAGUUUGGGAUUCUGUCAGUGUGUGUUCCAAGAGUGAGUGGUUCACAGCUGACUAGUAUCCAACAGAACCAGUUACAAAGGAGUCUGAGGAGUGGCAGGAAGGGUGUGAGAGUGCAUGAUCUCAAGUUUUCAAUCUGAGACC
rnacentral:snoRNA from 1 species